UACGGAGGGGGCUAGCGUUGUUCGGAAUUACUGGGCGUAAAGCGCGCGUAGGCGGCUUUGUAAGUUAGAGGUGAAAGCCCGGAGCUCAACUCCGGAACUGCCUUUAAGACUGCAUCGCUAGAAUUGUGGAGAGGUGAGUGGAAUUCCGAGUGUAGAGGUGAAAUUCGUAGAUAUUCGGAAGAACACCAGUGGCGAAGGCGGCUCACUGGCCCGGUACUGACGCUGAGGCACGAAAGCGUGGGGAGCAAACAGG
rnacentral:rRNA from 1 species